UACAGAGGGUGCGAGCGUUAAUCGGAAUUACUGGGCGUAAAGCGUGCGUAGACGGUUAUUUAAGUCGGGUGUGAAAGCCCCGGGCUCAACCUGGGAAUUGCAUUCGAGACUGAAUAGCUAGGGUACGGUAGAGGGAAGCGGAAUUUCCGGUGCAGCGGUGAAAUGCGUAGAUAUCGGAAGGAACAUCAGUGGCGAAAGCGGCUUCCUGGACCAGUACCGACGUUCAGGCACGAAAGCGUGGGGAGCAAACAGG
rnacentral:rRNA from 1 species